UACGUAGGAGGCGAGCGUUGUCCGGAAUUACUGGGCGUAAAGCGCGCGUAGGCGGUCUUUUGCGUAGGCGGUGAAAGCCCCCGGCUCACCCGGGGGAGGUCCGUCUAAACGGGGAGACUCGAGGGCGGUAGGGGCUGGCGGAACGCCCGGAGUAGCGGUGAAAUGCGUUGAGAUCGGGCAGAACACCAGUGGCGAAGGCGGCCGGCUGGGCCGUUCCUGACGCUGAGGCGCGAAAGCCAGGGGAGCGAACGGA
rnacentral:rRNA from 1 species